rnacentral:rRNA from 1 species
GACGAACGCUGGCGGCGUGCUUAACACAUGCAAGUCGAACGGAAAGGCCCUGCUUUUGUGGGGUGCUCGAGUGGCGAACGGGUGAGUAACACGUGAGUAACCUGCCCUUGACUUUGGGAUAACUUCAGGAAACUGGGGCUAAUACCGGUUAGGGCCUCCUGCUGCAUGGUGGGGGUGGGAAAGUUUCGGCGGUUGGGGAUGGACUCGCGGCUUAUCAGCUUGUUGGUGGGGUAGUGGCUUACCAAGGCUUUGACGGGUAGCCGGCCUGAGAGGGUGACCGGCCACAUUGGGACUGAGAUACGGCCCAGACUCCUACGGGAGGCAGCAGUGGGGAAUAUUGCACAAUGGGCGGAAGCCUGAUGCAGCAACGCCGCGUGCGGGAUGACGGCCUUCGGGUUGUAAACCGCUUUCGCCUGUGACGAAGCGUGAGUGACGGUAAUGGGUAAAGAAGCACCGGCUAACUACGU